UUAUUUUAACAUAUAUAAGCGAAUUUUAUGCGACACAUAUAAUGUUUUAGACGACAAGGCGAGUUAUUGUUCAUAAAGGCACGCCGUGGACAGCUAUACACGGAAGGGCUUUUUAAAGGUCCUUCGGUAUCAUGGCAACCAACACUCAAACAACAACAAUGCCACGCCGCUGAAGUUUCAGUUGGACGUACGCUGAUAAAUCUGCUGUGGAAUAUUAUAAAGCUAUUUAUUCGUCCAAAUGUCGCUGAAAGAACUACAAUUGCCACCGUUGUUACACUUUGAAAGCAAUAGCAGAGGAUCGCAGAGACACAUUACCGGCAGGAUAUCCAAGUCAAAGUUUAUAAAAACCAAAAUGGGGGAAACCACCAGUGACUUUUCACCCUGGCCUGCUGAAGUUACCUAUCAAAUUGUCCAAAAGCCUAGAAAAAAAAUACAUCAUGGAUCUCUUGCCAAACCUCAUUUCUUAGAGCAACUGGAGUGUCAUCUGAAGAGAGAAGUCGAAGCUUUAGACACACACGGCCCCAAAGUCCAAGAGCUCAGACUGCAGGUUUACCAGGAGGUCUUUGGCUAUUUAAUUGAAGAAUUUAAAACCUAUAAGCCUAUUUUGUCUGCCAUCAAAAAUGAGUAUGACAUCACAUUAGCGCAUCUUCGUGAACAGAUCAGGGAUCUGCUACCACUGCGGGCAAAGCUAGUGCUUGUGUCGGAACAGUGUGAGCAGACGAUUCUGGAUCUGAAAGUGCAGGAAAGAGAUGAGAUCCGAGCUCUGAAUCAAGAGUGUCAGCAUCUGCAGGACGUCAUCAAGAGUAUGAGAAGACAACAGAGUGCUCUGCAGAUUCAGGUCGAUCAUCUAAAAGAGGAUCUGGCCACCCAGUAUCAGCUAUACAGGGAUGAACGUGAUGCACGAAAGCUGCUCAUCACCAGAAUCAGCACAAUGCACUCUACCCAAGAUACUGAACAUGAUGAUAAUAAUAAAGAGGUGGAAUCUGAGGAUCCUAUGGUGGUGAAAAUGGCUUUGCAGGUGUGUAGAGAGGAUCUUACCAAAGCUCAGGUUGAGCUCAACCGCCUGGAAGCGGAAUACAGUGAUGUCGUCCCUCGACGGGAAUGGGAUAACCUGAAUCGUAUGCAUGAGGAGACUCUAAUGAAGCUGGAAACCUUACAAACAGACUUUGACCAGAUGAAGUCUGAAUAUGACACGCUGCUUGAGGUUCAUCGUCAGUCAUCACCUGCUGUGUUACACUCUAAUCAGUCUGUGCUGCAACAUGGCUCAGAUAACAAACACACUGUAACAACUCCCAGACCAAACUGGGAACAAUGUUCAGACAUACUCGGAGGCAGUGAGAGAUGUAGAGAGCUUUUUGAAGGUCAGUCCAGCCAAAAGAAGCUGGAGAUCUUGCUGCAGGAGAUCAAUGGACAAAAAGAGUUCUUUAUUGGACUUGGCACAUCCAGUGACGUCCCCAUUUAUCUACAAUAUGAGGGAAAAAUUAAGAAUCUUAAGCUCAAGAAAACAGAUGUUAUCAGAGUUAUAAAAGAUAUCUGGAGGAACAAAACAACAGAGAAUGAAAAGAACGAUGUCUCCAGAGACCUGCAGGAGUUUCUUCACAGCUAUCUUGUGGAACAAUAUACAGAUAAGGCAGGAGAUUGGGCUUACAGCUUGAUGGAAAGCAUCCAAAACAAUCUGAAAGAUGAUUUCAUUUGCCUUUUCAAUGACAUCUUGACUGGGAAGGUUUGUGCUUAAUCUAAGUAACCAUUUACCAUAGCAGUACUGAACAAGUAAGUCCAUUGAAAGCAGGGUUUUCAUCUGUUGUAUUUAAUAGGGGCCUCCAAAACUGUCCAAAUAUUUAUUGGGAUAAUUAUAUUCUAACUGAGAUUUGCUGUGUAAUUUUGCUGAGUGUAAUUUUGUGGCAGGUUGAUGAGAGCAUCUACCAUGGACAGACACAGCUGCUGUCUCACUUACUCAAGGUUUUAAUUCAAAGUGACAUAACACAAUGCGGAUCACUAACUGUCACAGAGUUUAGUGAGGCAUUGAAGAAGGCUUUCCCCAUGAAGUCAGAUCA